UACGAGGGGGGCGAGCGUUGUUCGGAAUUAUUGGGCGUAAAGGGUGCGUAGGCGGCCUGACAAGUCUGAUGUGAAAUCCCUGGGCUCAACCCAGGGCCUGCAUCGGAAACUGUCGGGCUUGAGUAUGGGAGAGGUGAGUGGGAAUUUCCGGUGUAGCGGUGAAAUGCGUAGAUAUCGGAAGGAACACCUGUGGCGAAAGCGGCUCACUGGACCAUUACUGACGCUGAGGCACGAAAGCUAGGGGAGCAAACAGG
rnacentral:rRNA from 1 species